UCAGCAUUAUUUCAUUACUUACAUUACUCAUGCUUCUUGUGCAAACAACUAAAUUGCGUACACAACUUUACAUCAGUUAUCAUAACUUCAACUAUCUAAUUUGCGCCGCCCUCGUGAUUCGUGAAGCAUAAUAAAGGGCAUAUUAUAAGGGCAUAAUACCAGCAAAAAAGGGCAUAAUUCCUGUGAUCGCUUCGAUCGAAACCUGACCAAUAUUCCGGUAAUGAGACAUUGCCUGUGAUCACUGAUCAUGUUUUUAUAUGAACGAUUUCGUGUGAGCUGUGAGGUAGCAAAUACGGUUAGGCAAAAUAGUCUGUAAUUUAAUAUAUGUCGCCUAUGCGCUUAGUCUGUUUUAUACUGUAGCCUAUAAACACGUCUUUUCUUGGCGGAAGUAACCAUAUUUUUUCGAGAAUGUGUUUUUCCCACCCACUUUCAAAAUUCGGCGCCCCAUUUUCAUUUUUGCGCCCCCCAAGAAUUGCCAGCUGGGGGGGCCGUGGCCCCCCGCCCCCCC